UCUUAGGGCGAGAUGCAGGGUACACCCUGGACAGGUCGCUAGUUUGCCGCAGGGAAGCCGGAGUACCUGGAGAGAACCCACGCAAACACGGGAAGAACAUGCAAACUCCACACAGAAAGACCCUGGCUUGAUGGUGGAAUUGAGACUGACAAAAUUUCUGAUCCACUGGGAUUUCCCCACACAGCCAUCUCUACGGUUUACUGAGAAUGGUCUGAUAAAAUGAUAUUCACCGAGUGGCAGGUCUGUGUCAAAAUGCCUUGUUGGUGGCAGAUUGGCCAGCCAGCUUCGAGCCAAUAGUCACUCAAAUAACCACUUGCUACAACAGAGGUAUGAGGAGAGCCUCUCUGAACACAUUGGACCUUGAAGCAGAUGUGCUACAGCAGCAGAAGACCACACUUCUGUCAGCUGAGAAGAGAAGACUGAAGCUGCAAUACACACAAAUUUUACCAAAAUUUCACAGCAGAAGACUGGAAAAAAGUUGUCUGCUCUUUUUUGACUUUAAAUGUUUUAAAAACAAAAUAAAAAAUAAUGUAACAAAUGAUCAGAGAUGCAGGAUAUUCAGUCUGUAGUUUUAUUAAUAUUUGUUUUCUUUUAGUGUAUCAAACUAUGUUUCGUGUAUGGGCUUAAAACAAAACAGCAGUAAUAAAUGUGACACUGGGAAGCCAAAUCAAAAUAAUUUAUUUUUGGUGACAUUUCAUACAGUUCUAAGAUUGUGUCUCAAACACUUGGUUGAUUCAUGACUACAUUUCCAUUUGCCACCCCAACCCAAAUUAACAGAAAAUAACCCAAACAUAUUGAGGGGGGGGGAGGAGCAAAUCCUGUAGGUAUUUUUGCAAGCCUGUCAACAUCAACCAUAUGCUUCUAAAAUGAUUUCACAUUACUCAUGAGUAAGAUUCUUUUUUUAAAACAAAGUUAGUGCAUUUCUUUAAUUAUACUAAAUCACUAGCUGCUCAUA